CAGGAUGAACGCUGGCGGCGUGCUUAACACAUGCAAGUUGCGCGGUGAUCUCAAGAAGUUUCGGACGGAAAGGGAGAGCAGCAGCGGACGGGUGAGUAAAGCACAAGGACUUGUCCCGAAGAGGGGGACAACUGUGGGAAACCACAGCUAAUACCCCAUAAGCCGAGAGGUGAAAGCAGCGAUGCGCUUUAGGAGAGACUUGUGUCCUAUCAGGUAGUUGGUGAGGUAACGGCUCACCAAGCCGAAGACGGGUAGCCGGACUGAGAGGUUGUACGGCCACAUUGGAACUGAGAGACGGUCCAGACUCCUACGGGAGGCAGCAGGUGGGGAAUAUUGGGCAAUGGGGGCAACCCUUGACCCAGCGACGCCGCGUGAGGGAAGACAGCCUUCGGGUUGUUAAACCUCUGUUGCAGGGAAGAAGAAAGUGACGGUACCCUGCGAGGAAGCUCCGGCAAACUACGUGCCAGCCGCCGC
rnacentral:rRNA from 1 species